CCUGGUCAUUUAGAGGAAGUAAAAGUCGUAACAAGGUUUCCGUAGGUGAACCUGCGGAAGGAUCAUUAUCGAGUUUGAAUUUGUCUCUAUCUGAUCUGGAAGACUAGAGGAACUUGAUUUGCUGGCGAUUCGAUUCGAUUCGAUUCGAUUGGGUUGCAUGUGCACGGUUCUCGAAAUUCUAGAUCUAAUAGAGCAACAUUCCUCUACACACACCUUGUGCACCAACUGUAGGGAGGUUACUCUUUCUCUCUAGAAGGGGGAAUAUCCCUAUGUUUUUCUUUUUACAUCACAACGCAUCGCAUGUUCAUAGAAUGAAAAUGGGAUAUGAUCUAUAACAACUUUCAGCAACGGAUCUCUUGGCUCUCGCAUCGAUGAAGAACGCAGCGAAUUGCGAUAAGUAAUGUGAAUUGCAGAUUUCCAGUGAAUCAUCGAAUCUUUGAACGCACCUUGCGCUCCUUGGUAUUCCGAGGAGCAUGCCUGUUUGAGUGUCAUUUCGUUCUCAACCAUCCCUUGAUCGGUGUAUGGCUUGGAGUUGGAGGUUCGCUGGCAUCGUCAGCUCCUCUGAAAUGCAUUAGCGAUGGGUAGAGCAUUCGUCCUCGAGACGUGCACGGCCUUUGACCUGGUAAUCAAAUCAAUGGUCAUGGCUGGAGCGUCAGUAGACCCAAAGGGCUUGCUCUCUUCAAACUCAUGGCUUCUAAUCUUGAUCUCCAAGAUUCAGAAAUUGGAUGGGGAAAGGGAAAGGCUUAGUUAUUAGUCUGACCAUGGCGAACACAAGCCUGUUCUGUGAACCACCUUGAUUUCGAUCUUGACCCCUUGAUCUUGACCUCAAAUCAGGUAGGACUACCCGCUGAACUUAAGCAU
rnacentral:rRNA from 1 species